UACGUAGGGUGCAAGCGUUAAUCGGAAUUACUGGGCGUAAAGCGUGCGUAGGCGGUUUUGCAAGUCAGAUGUGAAAUCCCCGGGCUUAACCUGGGAACUGCAUUUGUGACUGCAAGGCUGGAGUACGGUAGAGGGGGAUGGAAUUCCGCGUGUAGCAGUGAAAUGCGUAGAUAUGCGGAGGAACACCGAUGGCGAAGGCAAUCCCCUGGACCUGUACUGACGCUCAUGCACGAAAGCGUGGGGAGCAAACAGG
rnacentral:rRNA from 1 species